AGUGGAAUUGCUGGGUCAUAUGGUAAGUAAGCAUAUGUUUAAUUUUGUAAGAAACUGUUAAACUGUUUUCCAAACUGGCUGUGACAUUUGACAUUCCCACCAGCAAU
rnacentral:pre_miRNA from 1 species